AGUGAAUGAUGGGUUCUGACC
rnacentral:miRNA from 2 species